CACUUGGUCUCAAAUCAGGUAGGAAAACCCGCUGAACUUAAGCAUAUCAAUAAGCGGAGGAAAAGAAACUAACAAGGAUCCCCUAGUAACGGCGAGUGAAGCGGGAACAGCUCAAAUUUGAAAUCUUACAGGGUUACCUGUACGAAUUGUAGUUUAGAGAAACGUUUUCGGAUGAAGAUUGGGCAUAAGUCCUUUGGAACGAGGCAUCAUAGAGGGUGAGAAUCCCGUCUUUGGUCCAAAUCCUUCAUUCAUGUGAUACGUUUUCCACGAGUCGGUUUGUUUGGGAAUGCAGACCAAAAUGGGUGGUAAAUACCAUCUAAAGCUAAAUAUUGGCGAGAGACCGAUAGCGAACAAGUACCGUGAGGGAAAGAUGAAAAGAACUUUGAAAAGAGAGUUAAACAGUACGUGAAAUUGUCAAAAGGGAAACGUUUGAAACCAGUAUUGCCUGCAAGUAAUCAGCCGUACCCUUAGUGCGGUGCACUUGCUUGUUGGCAGAUCAACAUCAGUUUCUUCUGGGGUAAAAAGCUUGAGAAAGGUAGCCCAUCUCUGGGUGUUAUAGUCUCUGGUUCUGCCCUGGAGGAGACUGAGGUCUGCAGCGUUUUUGGGUACCCAGUCGCUUCUUGAACCUUCUCAAUAGACAGCACGCUGACUAUUGGUAAGUGUAGGGAACACGGUUGGUUCGCCACACCAACGCUUAGGAUGUUGAUGAAAUGGUUUUAAAUGACCCGUCUUGAAACACGGACCAAGGAGUCUAACAUAUAUGCGAGUAUUUGGGUGGCAAACCCUUAUGCGAAAUGAAAGUGAACUUAGGUGGGAUCUUCGGUGCACCAUCGACCGGUCAGGAUUUUUUUGAUAGAUCUGAGUAAGAGCAUAUCUGUUGGGACCCGAAAGAUGGUGAACUAUGCCUGAAUAGGGUGAAGCCAGAGGAAACUCUGGUGGGGGCUCGUAGCGAUUCUGACGUGCAA
rnacentral:rRNA from 1 species